rnacentral:rRNA from 1 species
UACGGAGGGUGCGAGCGUUGUCCGGAAUCAUUGGGCGUAAAGGGCGCGUAGGUGGCCCGGUCAGCGUGCGGUGAAAGCUCGGGGCUCAACCCCGAGUCGGCCGUGCGAACUGCUGGGCUGGAGCACUGUAGAGGCAGGCGGAAUUCCGGGUGUAGCGGUGGAAUGCGUAGAGAUCGGGAGGAACACCAGUGGCGAAGGCGACUACCUGGACCAGCACUGACACUGAGGCACGAAAGCGUGGGGAGCAAACAGGG